GGAGUUGGUAUCUCAGUGGUAGUGUGCAUGUUCUGUAUGUAUGAUGUCCUGGGUUUAAAUCCCAGCUGCUCCU
rnacentral:tRNA from 1 species